GAAAGUUGGUCAACUCUCUCCAUA
rnacentral:siRNA from 1 species